rnacentral:ncRNA from 1 species
UGGGGUGAAACUAGGUAAGUAGUAGUUACUAUGGCAAGGUUCUCUUGUAUGGUGGGGUGAAACUAGGUAAGUAGUAGUUACUAUGGCAAGGUUCUCUUGAAUGGUGGGGUGAAACUAGGUAAGUAGUAGUUACUAUGGCAAGGUUCUCUUGAAUGGUGGGGUGAAACUAGGUAACCAGCUCCGGAGAGCCUGUAACGCAUGUGAUCUUUCGGCGUUUGUUAGGGGGGUAACGAAACUGAAAAGCUCUGGGGGUAUUCGAGGGUCGAUAGAGGGACUCGACCUCUCUUGGUGAGCGAACAUGUGUUUUGCCCAAUGCCAUGAGGGAUGAGUCCGCAAUUGGGUGCUAAUUUCCCCGUGCUGUUUCAUCAGAUAGCCAAAGGUAGCCAAAUGCCUCGUCAUCUUAUUAGUGACGCGCAUGAAUGGAUUAACGUGAUCCCCACUUUCCCUAUCUACUAUCUAGCGAAACCACAGUCAAGGGAACUGGCUUGGCACAAUCAGCGGGAAAAGAAGACCUUGUUGAGCUUGACUCUAAUCUGACCCUGUGAAAAGACUUGAGAUGUGUAGAAUAGGAGGGAGUAGCAAUAGAUCUGUGAAAUACCACUAAUCUUAUCGUUUUUUACUUACCCGAUGAAGCGGAAGCAAACCGCAAGGUUCCCGUUUGGAUUUGAGGUCUCUCUUUUGCAGGCCGAUCCGUGUCAAAGACACUAUCAGGUUGGGAGUUUGGCCGGAGCUCAAUGAGAACAGAAAUCUCAAACAAAAGGGUAAAGGCUCACUUGAUUUUGAUUUUCAGUAUGAAUACAAACUGUGAAAGCAUGGCCUAUCGAGCCUUUAGACUUUAUGAGUUUUUAGCUAGAGGUGUCAGAAAAGUUACCACAGGGAUAACUGGCUUGUGGGAGCCAAGCGUUCAUAGUGACGUUGCUUCUUGAUCCUUCGAUGUCGGCUCUUCCUAUCAUAGCGAAGUAGAACUCGCUAAGUGUUGGAUUGUUCACCCACUAACAUGAGCUCCUUCGUGAGACAGGUUAGUUUUACCCUACUGAUGAAGUGUUGUUGCAAUAGUAAUUCUGCUCAGUACGAGAGGAACCGCAGAUUCAGACAAUUGGCAUUUGCACUUGGCUGAAAAG